UACAGAGGGGGCAAGCGUUGUUCGGAAUUACUGGGCGUAAAGGGCGCGUAGGCGGCCCGCUAAGUCGAACGUGAAAUCCCCGGGCUCAACCCGGGAACUGCGUCCGAUACUGGUGGGCUCGAAUCCGGGAGAGGGAUGCGGAAUUCCAGGUGUAGCGGUGAAAUGCGUAGAUAUCUGGAGGAACACCGAUGGCGAAGGCAAUCCCCUGGGCCUGCACUGACGCUCAUGCACGAAAGCGUGGGGAGCAAACAGG
rnacentral:rRNA from 1 species